rnacentral:rRNA from 1 species
AGCAAAAGAAACCAACAGGGAUUGCCCUAGUAACGGCGAGUGAAGCGGCAACAGCUCAAAUUUGAAAUCUGGCCUCCUCUGGGGGUCCGAGUUGUAAUUUGCAGAGGGUGCUUUGGCAUGGGCGGCGGUCUAAGUUCCUUGGAACAGGACAUCGCAGAGGGUGAGAAUCCCGUAUGUGGGCGCCUGCCUUUGCCGUGUAAAGCCCCUUCGACGAGUCGAGUUGUUUGGGAAUGCAGCUCUAAAUGGGAGGUAAAUUUCUUCUAAAGCUAAAUACCGGCCAGAGACCGAUAGCGCACAAGUAGAGUGAUCGAAAGAUGAAAAGUACUUUGGAAAGAGAGUCAAAUAGCACGUGAAAUUGUUGAAAGGGAAGCGCUUGCAGCCAGACGUGCCCGCAGUUGCUCACCCCGGCUUUUGCCUGGGGCACUCUUCUGCGGGCAGGCCAGCAUCAGUUUGGGCGGUCGGAUAAAGGCCUCUGUCAAGUAUCUUCCUUCGGGAUGACCUUAUAGGGGAGGCGUAAUGCGACCAGCCCGGACUGAGGUCCGCGCAUCUGCUAGGAUGCUGGCGUAAUGGCUGUAAGCGGC